UGUAACAAGGUCUCCGUUGGUGAACCAGCGGAGGGAUCAUUAUCGAGUUUAUCCAACUCCCAACCCUAUGUGAACCUACCUUUAUGUUGCUUCGGCGGUUUCGCGCCGGGUUGCUCCCCAGGGGGCUCCCGGGACCACGCGUCCGCCGGAGACCACAAACUCUUGAUUUUGCGAAAGCAGUAUUAUUCUGAGUGGCCGAAAGGCAAAAAACAAAUGAAUCAAAACUUUCAACAACGGAUCUCUUGGUUCUGGCAUCGAUGAAGAACGCAGCGAAAUGCGAUAAGUAAUGUGAAUUGCAGAAUUCAGUGAAUCAUCGAAUCUUUGAACGCACAUUGCGCCCGCCAGCAUUCUGGCGGGCAUGCCUGUUCGAGCGUCAUUUCAACCCUCGAGCUCGUCUUCAUUGACGAGAUCGGUGUUGGGACCCGGCGAGCGGGGACUUCUGUCCUCUGCCGGCCCCGAAAUUCAGUGGCGGCCCGUUGCGGCGACCUCUGCGUAGUAACUUAACCUCGCACUGGGACAGCAUCGUGGCCACGCCGUAAAACCCCCGACUUUUUUAAGGUUGACCUCGAAUCAGGUAGGACUACCCGCUGAACUUAAGCAUAUCAUUAA
rnacentral:sRNA from 1 species